UAAAUCUUUGUUAGAAGAUACAAAGACAAAGACUCAUACGGACUUCAACUACACUAUCAAAGCUUGGAGAAGCAAGAAGAAGCUUGGUUAGUGUUUUGGAGUCGAAUAUGACUUGAUGCCAUGUGUAUGACUCAAUAUAAAAACUAGAACCGCAACAGAUCUUAAAAGCAUAAGUAUUGUAUCAUUGUUAGAAGAUACAAUGACGAAGACUCAUAUGGACUUCGGCUACACCAUCAAAGCUUUGAGAAGCAAGAAGCAGCUUGGUUAGUGGUUCGGAGUCGAAUAUGACUUGAUGUCAUGUGUAUGAGUGAGUAUAAAAACUAGAACCGCAACGGAUCUUAAAAGCCUAAAUAUUGUAUCCUUGUUAGAAGAUACAUAGACAAAGACUCAUACGGAAUUCGGCUAAACCAUCAAAGCUUUUAGAAGCAAGAAGAAGCUUGGUUAGUGUUUUGGAGUGAAAUAUGACUAGCUGUCAUGUGUAUGGGUGAGUAUACCAUCUAGAACCGCAAUUGGAAUUUUAAAAGCCUAAGUAUUGUAUCCUUGUUAGAAGAUACAAAGACAAACACUCAUACGGACUUUGGCUACACCAUCAAAGCUUUGAGAAGCAAGAAGAAGCUUGGUUAGUGUUUUCGAGUCGAAUAUGACUAGAUGUGAUGUGUAUGAUUGAGUAUAAGAAAUUAAAGCGCAACCGGAUCUUAAAAGCCUAAGUAGUGUUUCCUUGUUAGAAGAUACAAAGGCAAAGCCUCAUACAGACUUUAGCUAUACCAUCAAAGACUUGAGAAGAAAGAAGAAGCUUGGUUAGUGUUUUGGAGUCAAAUAUUACUAGAUGUCAUGUGUAUGAGUGAGUAUGACAACUAGAACCAUAACCGGAUCUGAA
rnacentral:sRNA from 1 species